UCCCUCUCAGGCUGGCACCUGGAGAGUUUCCAGUCCUCUACCAGUCUCGGCUACGGGAGGAAGAGUCAAGCAGAGGCCUAUCCGUUCCGUUCCUAGCUUGGGCAGCGGUUAGCGAGCGGGAGGCCAUCUGCUACAAGU
rfam:Ornithorhynchus anatinus chromosome X5, whole genome shotgun sequence.